UUCCUGGAGUUGUCAAAGGUCACUUAAAAAGAUAUUCAUCAGACUUGCAGAAAAAGCAAACCCCGGAGGAAGCUGAGGCAUGGCUGCUCGAGAGCCAGCCUGCCAUGUGCAAUGUUCCUCCGAUAGUUUAAAAAA